GACGAACGCUGGCGGCGUGCCUAAUACAUGCAAGUAGAACGCACAGUUUAUACCGUAGCUUGCUACACCAUAGACUGUGAGUUGCGAACGGGUGAGUAACGCGUAGGUAACCUGCCUGGUAGCGGGGGAUAACUAUUGGAAACGAUAGCUAAUACCGCAUAAUAUUGAUUAUAGCAUGAUAAUUAAUUGAAAGGUGCAAUUGCACCACUACCAGAUGGACCUGCGUUGUAUUAGCUAGUAGGUGAGGUAACGGCUCACCUAGGCGACGAUACAUAGCCGACCUGAGAGGGUGAUCGGCCACACUGGGACUGAGACACGGCCCAGACUCCUACGGGAGGCAGCAGUAGGGAAUCUUCGGCAAUGGACGAAAGUCUGACCGAGCAACGCCGCGUGAGUGAAGAAGGUUUUCGGAUCGUAAAGCUCUGUUGUAAGAGAAGAACGGGUGUGAGAGUGGAAAGUUCACACUGUGACGGUAUCUUACCAGAAAGGGACGGCUAACUACGUG
rnacentral:rRNA from 1 species